rnacentral:rRNA from 1 species
UGCACCGGCCCUGACACUGAACUCACAUGGAACUCCCACUAAAGCUAAGCAGGGCUGUGCCUGGUCAGUACCUUGAUGGGAGACCACAUGGGAAAGCUAGGUUGCUGCCGGAA